UACGGAGGGGGCAAGCGUUAUCCGGAUUCACUGGGUUUAAAGGGUGCGUAGGAGGGCAGGGAAGUCCGUGGUGAAAUCUCCGAGCUUAACUCGGAAACUGCCGUGGAUACUCUCUGUCUUGAAUCCCGUGGAGAUGAGCGGAAUAUGUCAUGUAGCGGUGAAAUGCUUAGAUAUGACAUAGAACACCAAUUGCGAAGGCAGCUCGUUACACGAAGAUUGACUCUGAGGCACGAAAGCGUGGGGAUCAAACAGG
rnacentral:rRNA from 1 species